AUUGAACGCUGGCGGCAUGCUUUACACAUGCAAGUCGAACGGCGGCGCGGGCUUCGGCCUGGCGGCGAGUGGCGAACGGGUGAGUAAUACAUCGGAACGUGCCCAGUAGUGGGGGAUAGCUCGGCGAAAGCCGGAUUAAUACCGCAUACGACCUGAGGGUGAAAGCGGGGGAUCUUCGGACCUCGCGCUAUUGGAGCGGCCGAUGGCAGAUUAGCUAGUUGGUGGGGUAAAGGCCUACCAAGGCGACGAUCUGUAGCUGGUCUGAGAGGACGACCAGCCACACUGGGACUGAGACACGGCCCAGACUCCUACGGGAGGCAGCAGUGGGGAAUUUUGGACAAUGGGCGGAAGCCUGAUCCAGCAAUGCCGCGUGUGUGAUGAAGGCCUUCGGGUUGUAAAGCACUUUUGGCGGGAACGAAAAGGACUGUGCCAAUACCACGGUUCGAUGACGGUACCCGCAGAAUAAGCACCGGCUAACUACGUG
rnacentral:rRNA from 1 species